ACCGCAAGCUGAACUGUGAACAAGUCUGAAGAGUAGGAAAGAUCAAGGUAUGAAUACUUUAUUACAAUUCUUUGUCUUUUGUAGCAUAAUUUUCAAUCGCUAAACCGACUGAAACGGUCAAUGCAUUUUUGUAGAUUUUUGUAUAGUCCCCGACUCAACUAACAUUCUAACAAGCAUAUGGCCUAUAAGUCAGCAGACACAAUCUCAUGCAAAAAACUGGAGACUUGAAUUUAACCAUUACUCAUUUAAUAUACUUGUUUUCCAAAACUGCAUGACCUGAUAUAAUACUCUGCUGGCUUCUAUAUAUACUGCAGUAACAUUUCUGAUCUAUGGACGCAGUGAAUUCCAGAUAAGUCACGCUGUUAUUUAGAGAACUACCUUUAAAGUUUGAACUCCAUAUCCCUUAUGGGUUACCGCAACUUGACCUGCACAUAUCAAAUAAAGUAAAUAAACGACUCACCUAGGCUACAACAGCUUUCUGGCGCUCGUAUAUAAGGCCAUAAUAGCUAACUAAUUUGUUCAAUAUUUACUAUAGAACGAAAUUCAAGAUGGUUUCCAAAGUGUUGGUAAUGAUAACUGUGAUACUUUUGGUUUCCGCAAUUUGCGACGUCGUGGUGUAAGCUUUUACGUGUGGUGACAAUUGUUGGCACAAUGAUUGGGGAACGCGUGAUUCAGAAGCAACAAGACAUGGCUUUGGAGCAGAAAAUAAGAGAUGUCAUUACUCGUACUUUUGGGGUGGUACCUGUUUUUGUUACGGUCCACCACGUUGUGUAACCGUUCCAAAAAGAACAUGUGGUCAUAACUGCUGGCACAACGAUUGGCGACAGCGCGAGAUCAGAGAGCACACGCAGAUGGGCAGUACGGGAGAAGAUGUUCGUAUGGAUAUAGCUUUGGAGCAGCUAUUGGAGGACGAUGUUAUUGUUAUGGUUCUCCAGUCUGCACUUAAACUCAGAACCAGCAAUCGUAAUUUGAUUAAUUAAACUGAUAUUUAGAAAUUGGAACUUAGGUAGAAUACCUAAUUAGAAUUUAGUUAAUUUGGGAACUAGAAAUCAUUCCAAUUUGAACUUAAUGAGUAUAAGAAUUUAAUGCUCAUAUGUCGUAUGACCAGUUCGUUUGUAUAGUCUUUUUUUUAUUAUUAUCAUUAUUUACUUUAAAUGACAAUCACGGUGAAAUAGAG